GGAUGUGUGUGAUCUGGCUGUGACAUCUGGCCCCACAUCGAUUGCCAGGGUUUAUUUGGGUCAUCUGGCUGGUUAGGCAAGUGACCCUUCCCUCCAAAACGACUCACAUAUGUCCUUCCCAAAUCUGCCUACUCAAAUAGAAGAGGACCAUUGAUUGCCCAAUAGAAGAGGACCAUUCUUCAGUCAAGGGUACCUGAGUAGCUACACUUCCCUGCUAGAACCUUCAAACAAGUUCUCAAGUGCAUGUGGGACAUUGUCUGGGAUAGAACAGUUUUACACCAGGCCGAAAAACAAACCAAGAAGUGU
rnacentral:snRNA from 1 species